GAUGAAGAACGUAGCGAAAUGCGAUACUUGGUGUGAAUUGCAGAAUCCCGUGAACCAUCGAGUCUUUGAACGCAAGUUGCGCCCGAAGCCAUUAGGCCGAGGGCACGCCUGCCUGGGCGUCACACGUCGUUGCCCCCCCCAUCUACUCCUUCGGGAUUGCGGGGGGCGGAUGAUGGCCUCCCGUGCGCCUCGCCGCGCGGUUGGCAUAAAUGCCAAGUCCUCGGCGACGCACGCCACGACAAUCGGUGGUUGCGAAACCUCGGUUGCCCGUCGUGUGCGGUCGUCGCGCAUCGAGGGCUCGAAAAAAUUGCCGGGCUCCGGCUCGACUUUCAACGCGACCCCAGGUCAGGCGGGGUUACCCGCUGAAUUUAAGCAUAUCAAUAAGCGGAGGA
rnacentral:misc_RNA from 1 species